rnacentral:lncRNA from 1 species
UUCACAUAGAUGAAAAUGGACACAAAGAAGCUGGAUUGUGUCUUAAGGUGAAGAAAGAUGCAGCAGCAACUUUGUGAUGGUGCUCCUGGAGAGCAGCGCGGUGCAGCUGGGCUGUGGGGACCACCAGCAUCCCUGCCUCUGCAUCACCCCAUCCAGCACUGGGAAGCACUUCUGUAGGCGUGGAGGUUUCCAUCUUCCAGGCUGUUUGGGCAUGGAGUGCUCCAACAAGGUCACUGACUUGCCCUGUUAUUCUGAAGGUCUCCAUAUCCAUGUGACAUGUGCAUUCCAUGUGAACUAUCUACAGACAUUAGAGAUUUACACUUUUUGUAGACCUUUGAGGAUGCAAAUCCUACAAGUUGCACUUUAAAGAUCUUCUGCUUGGCGUCACAGCCCCAUCCGUGCCAUCUGGAGGAGCGGAGCAGCCCCGAGCUGGCUGAUGGAGACAAGCUGAAACCAGACGUAUAUCUGUGGAGAUCUAUUCUUCUGAAGCACGGACAGAUUUCCUGAGCGCCACCAUUCCAAAGGCAGGCACAGGGAUGCAGCACCAGGCACCAAAGCAUUGUCCAGCCCAUCAGCACAAAGUGACAUGAGAGGGUGUCUGGACUAAAGUAUAGGCAAGAGAAGCUAAACUAAGCCCUACUAAGCAGAGCAACGUCCCAGUCCUGCAAGAAGCUGGUGCUGAAGUGCAAAAGGGUCUGCAAAAACUGAAGACAAAGGAAGC